UACAGAGGUCUCAAGCGUUGUUCUGAUUCAUUGGGCGUAAAGGGUGCGUAGGCGGCGAGGUAAGUCGGGUGUGAAAUCUCGGAGCUUAACUCCGAAACUGCAUUCGAUACUGCCGUGCUUGAGGACUGGAGAGGAGACUGGAAUUUACGGUGUAGCGGUGAAAUGCGUAGAUAUCGUAAGGAAGACCAGUGGCGAAGGCGGGUCUCUGGACAGUUCCUGACGCUGAGGCGCGAAGGCCAGGGGAGCAAACGGG
rnacentral:rRNA from 1 species